rnacentral:rRNA from 1 species
GGAUGAAUAUUGGUCAAUGGUCGGGAGACUGAACCAGCCAAGCCGCGUGAGGGAUGAAGGUACAGAGUAUCGUAAACCUCUUUUUGUCAGGGAACAAAAAGGCGCCACGCGUGGCGCUCCGAGUGUACCUGAAGAAAAAGCAUCGGCUAACUCCGUGCCAGCAGCCGCGGUAAUACGGAGGAUGCGAGCGUUAUCCGGAUUUAUUGGGUUUAAAGGGUGCGUAGGCGGCGAGUUAAGUCAGCGGUAAAAGCCCGGGGCUAACCCCGGCCCGCCGUUGAAACUGGCUUGCUUGAGUUGGAGAGAAGUAGGCGGAAUGCGCGGUGUAGCGGUGAAAUGCUUAGAUAUCGCGCAGAACUCCGAUUGCGAAGGCAGCCUACCGGCUCCAGACUGACGCUGAGGCACGAAAGCGUGGGUAUCGAACAGGAUUAGAUACCC